ensembl:ncRNA H01G02.10 ncRNA
UUGAAACACAUUGGAAAAUAAUUUUGAAAUCACACGACUUUUAGAUGAAUAUUCAAAUUGUGUUGGUUGCCUAGUUACCCUCGGAAAUAAUUGUGAAAACGUUGUGUACAGGAAACUAAACCACAGUUACUGGAACUUUAAUUGAAAAAUCGAAGUUUCUAUUGUAAGGUACGUAUUUAUGUGUAUGCGCCUACCAUAUGCCUGAUCGCCUACAUGCCUUCACCG